UAUAUGCGUAAAGAACAGGCCAUGCUCUAUGGCCGGGCGCAAGCAGUAGGCGCAGCCUGCGGGACUACA
rnacentral:ncRNA from 1 species